CUCUGGUAGUUAAACUGCACAGAGAGAUGUGGAUCUUGACCUGGGGGUUGUGGGGAGCCAGGGAAGGAGGCAGCAUGGAAACAGGAGAA